AUUGAACGCUGGCGGCAGGCCUAACACAUGCAAGUCGAGCGAGCGGCGGACGGGUGAGUAAUGUAUGGGGAACUGCCCGAUAGAGGGGGAUAAAUACUGGAAACGGUGGCUAAUACCGCAUACCAUCGGAUGUACCCAGAUGGGCUUAGCUAGUAGGUGGGGUAAAGGCUAACCUAGGCGACGAUCCCUAGCGGGUCUGAGAGGAUGACCACGCACAAUGGGACUGGGACACGGGCCAAACUCCUACGGUAGGCAGCAGUGGGGAAUAUUGAACAAUGGGCGCAAGCCUGAUGCAGCCAUGCCGCGUGUAUGAAGAAGGCCUUCGGGUUGUAAAGUACUUUCAGCGGGGAGGCGUUACCCGCAGAAGAAGCACCGGCUAACUCCGUGCCAGCAGCCGCGGUAAUAC
rnacentral:rRNA from 1 species